rnacentral:misc_RNA from 1 species
GAUGAAGAACGCAGCGAAAUGCGAUAAGUAAUGCGAAUUGCAGAAUUUCCGUGAGUCAUCGAAUCUUUGAACGCACAUUGCGCCCACUGGUAUUCCGGUGGGCAUGCCUGUUCGAGCGUCAUUAUCCUCCCUCAAACCCCGGGUUUGGUGUUGGACCCAAGUUGUGUUAACAACUGGUCUCAAAGACAAUGACGGCGUCCGUGGGACCCUCGGUGCAACGAGCUUUUAGGAGCACGCAUCGAGUUGCAAGGACCUUCCGGGCCGGUCUCCUUUACCAUUUUACAAGGUUGACCUCGGAUCAGGUAGGAAUACCCGCUGAACUUAAGCAUAUCAAUAAGCGGAGGA